rnacentral:rRNA from 1 species
CAGUAGCCGCGGUAAUACGAAGGGGGCUAGCGUUGCUCGGAAUUACUGGGCGUAAAGGGAGCGUAGGCGGAUCGUUAAGUUGGGGGUGAAAGCCCGGGGCUCAACCUCGGAAUUGCCUUCAAUACUGGCGAUCUUGAGUAUGGAAGAGGUAUGUGGAACUCCGAGUGUAGAGGUGAAAUUCGUAGAUAUUCGGAAGAACACCAGUGGCGAAGGCGACAUACUGGUCCAUUACUGACGCUGAGGCUCGAAAGCGUGGGGAGCAAACAGGAUUAGAUACCCCCGUAGUCCCUGUCUCUUAUAC